GACGAACGCUGGCGGCGUGCUUAACACAUGCAAGUCGAACGGAAAGGCCCUGCUUGCAGGGUGCUCGAGUGGCGAACGGGUGAGUAACACGUGGGUGAUCUGCCCCUUACUUUGGGAUAAGCCUGGGAAACUGGGUCUAAUACUGGAUAGGACCAUGCUGUAGGUGGUGUGGUGGAAAGAUUUUUUCGGUAAGGGAUGAGCUCGCGGCCUAUCAGCUUGUUGGUGGGGUAAUGGCCUACCAAGGCGUCGACGGGUAGCCGGCCUGAAAGGGUGGACGGCCACAUUGGGACUGAGAUACGGCCCAGACUCCUACGGGAGGCAGCAGUGGGGAAUAUUGCACAAUGGGCGCAAGCCUGAUGCAGCGACGCCGCGUGGGGGAUGACGGCCUUCGGGUUGUAAACUCCUUUCAGCCAUGACGAAGCCUCUUUUGGGGUGACGGUAGUGGUAGAAGAAGCACCGGCUAACUACGUG
rnacentral:rRNA from 1 species